rnacentral:rRNA from 1 species
AUUGAACGCUGGCGGCAUGCCUUACACAUGCAAGUCGAACGGUAACAGGUCUUCGGAUGCUGACGAGUGGCGAACGGGUGAGUAAUACAUCGGAACGUGCCUAGUAGUGGGGGAUAACUACUCGAAAGAGUGGCUAAUACCGCAUGAGAUCUACGGAUGAAAGCAGGGGAUCGCAAGACCUUGUGCUACUAGAGCGGCCGAUGGCAGAUUAGGUAGUUGGUGGGAUAAAAGCUUACCAAGCCGACGAUCUGUAGCUGGUCUGAGAGGACGAUCAGCCACACUGGGACUGAGACACGGCCCAGACUCCUACGGGAGGCAGCAGUGGGGAAUUUUGGACAAUGGGCGAAAGCCUGAUCCAGCAAUGCCGCGUGCAGGAUGAAGGCCUUCGGGUUGUAAACUGCUUUUGUCAGGGAAGAAAUCUUCUGGGCUAAUACCCCGGGAGGAUGACGGUACCUGAAGAAUAAGCACCGGCUAACUACGUGCCAGCCGCCGCAGUAA